rnacentral:rRNA from 1 species
AAGACCUUGCGCUUUUGGAGCGGCCGAUGCCGGAUUAGCUUGUUGGUAAGGUAAAAGCUUACCAAGGCUUCGAUCAGUAGCUGGUCUGAGAGGACGGCCAGCCACACUGGGACUGAGACACGGCCCAGACUCCUACGGGAGGCAGCAGUGGGGAAUUUUGGACAAUGGGGGCAACCCUGAUCCAGCCAUGCCGCGUGAGUGAAGAAGGCCUUCGGGUUGUAAAGCUCUUUCAGCCGGAACGAAACGGUUACGGUUAAUACCCGUGAUUACUGACGGUACCGGAAGAAGAAGCACCGGCUAACUACGUGCCAGCAGCCGCGGUAAUACGUAGGGUGCGAGCGUUAAUCGGAAUUACUGGGCGUAAAGCGUGCGCAGGUGGUUUUGUAAGUCAGAUGUGAAAGCCCCGGGCUCGACCUGGGAACU